UACGUAUGGUGCAAGCGUUAUCCGGAUUUACUGGGUGUAAAGGGAGCGCAGGCGGUGCGGCAAGUCUGAUGUGAAAGCCCGGGGCUCAACCCCGGUACUGCAUUGGAAACUGUCGUACUAGAGUGUCGGAGGGGUAAGUGGAAUUCCUAGUGUAGCGGUGAAAUGCGUAGAUAUUAGGAGGAACACCAGUGGCGAAGGCGGCUUACUGGACGAUAACUGACGCUGAGGCUCGAAAGCGUGGGGAGCAAAC
rnacentral:rRNA from 1 species